rnacentral:rRNA from 1 species
UACGAAGGGGGCUAGCGUUGUUCGGAAUUACUGGGCGUAAAGCGCACGUAGGCGGAUCCUUAAGUCAGGGGUGAAAUCCCGAGGCUCAACCUCGGAACUGCCUUUGAUACUGGGGAUAUCGAGUCCGGGAGAGGUGAGUGGAACUGCGAGUGUAGAGGUGAAAUUCGUAGAUAUUCGCAAGAACACCAGUGGCGAAGGCGGCUCACUGGCCCGGUACUGACGCUGAGGUGCGAAAGCGUGGGGAGCAAACAGGG